rnacentral:rRNA from 1 species
UACAGAGGGUGCGAGCGUUAAUCGGAAUUACUGGGCGUAAAGCGUGCGUAGACGGCUAUCUAAGUCGGGUGUGAAAGCCCCGGGCUUAACCUGGGAAUGGCAUUUGGGACUGCAAGGCUGGAGUGUGGCAGAGGAGACUGGAAUUCCUGGUGUAGCAGUGAAAUGCGUAGAUAUCAGGAGGAAUACCGAUGGCGAAGGCAGGUCUCUGGGCUGACACUGACGCUCAUGCACGAAAGCGUGGGGAGCAAACAGG